AUCUUGUUUGUUAUUGAUAGGUUGUGUUUAUCAUUUGGAUGAAGCCAGUUUAUGACUUCUUAUUGGUGAAGCACUUAUUAUUCUACAAAUACGAUUUUCUUCUGCUGACGUGGACUGAAAUUAGUCGUGGACUGAAAGAGUAGCGUUAUUUAUUAUCCGAUCUCGUUUGAAUUCUUGAGAAACACCCUGCAUACGUGUCCCUCAAAUCACAACAAACAAAUAAACAACAAACAUAAUUGCGUCAUGGGGAUUGUAAACGAUAAACCGCCCGGUCUUCAUUAAUCUUGUCUAUAUCAAAAAAACAUGAAUAUGAAAUACGAUCACGAUAUGUGUUCCACUAACCCGGUACCAUAUUAUUCUCACCUCUUUGAUUUGUGGAUAUUUCUUUUUGGUCUCGAUGCCGAGAUUCUUAAAGUCCGACUGAAGCACCUCCAAAAACUUUUGGGCUG